UUUAGCAUUUCUUUAAACUGUAUGGAAAUAUCUAUAGACUCCGUGACAGUGAAUGGCACUAUGAAGUUUUGUUGUCAUAACUUUGGAAGGACAAUUACUCAAGGCUUUUCUAUCCUCUUGAAAGUAUAGAAUCAUAAGAAAUGAGAACAAAUAUGUCACCAUCAUAGAAAAAUAUUUUGAUUGUCCAGUCAUCUCCUGUCAACUGCCUAUUCACCUCAUUAUAGUCAACACUGCUAGAAGAGUUGCUGCAAAAGUACUCCCUUCCUCUUAUGCAUGGACAUUAAGGUCCAGCUCCCGCUGUGCUUGUUCACACUCAUGCUGUUGAUGAGAGCUGCCUUCUACCACUGGAAACUGGGGCAGAGCCUGUAAGCCUCUCAAUAAAUCCAUCACUGAAAAAUGAAGAGCUGCUGUUAAUAUUUUAUGAGACUGAUGAAUACCUCUCACUGCUUUGGCAAGAUAAAAUAAGAAAGAAUGUUUAUGCUAUAAUAAUUAGCAACUUUGGAAAUGAUUCAAAAACAGAUGUAGAGAGAACAACAUUAAAAGGAAGAAAAAGGUAACCUGCUACAUGAUGUUUCUGUCUAUUAUAA
ensembl:lncRNA